GAUGAACGCUGGCGGCGUGCCUAAUACAUGCAAGUCGAGCGAACGGACGAGAAGCUUGCUUCUCUGAUGUUAGCGGCGGACGGGUGAGUAACACGUGGAUAACCUACCUAUAAGACUGGGAUAACUUCGGGAAACCGGAGCUAAUACCGGAUAAUAUUUUGAACCGCAUGGUUCAAAAGUGAAAGACGGUCUUGCUGUCACUUAUAGAUGGAUCCGCGCUGCAUUAGCUAGUUGGUAAGCUAACGGCUUACCAAGGCAACGAUGCAUAGCCGACCUGAGAGGGUGAUAGGCCACACUGGAACUGAGACACGGUCCAGACUCCUACGGGAGGCAGCAGUAGGGAAUCUUCCGCAAUGGGCGAAAGCCUGACGGAGCAACGCCGCGUGAGUGAUGAAGGUCUUCGGAUCGUAAAACUCUGUUAUUAGGGAAGAACAUAUGUGUAAGUAACUGUGCACAUCUUGACGGUACCUAAUCAGAAAGCCACGGCUAACUACGUG
rnacentral:rRNA from 1 species